rnacentral:rRNA from 1 species
AGUCGAGGGGCAGCGCGGGAUAGCAAUAUCCUGGCGGCGACCGGCGGAAGGGUGCGUAACGCGUGAGCGACAUGCCCGUUGCCCGGGGACAACCGGUGGAAACGCCGACUAAUCCCCGAUGGGAUAUUGUGCCGCAUGGCACGAUAUUGAAAGUUACGGCGGCGACGGAUUGGCUCGCGUCCGAUUAGCUUGUUGGCGGGGUAACGGCCCACCAAGGCUACGAUCGGUAGGGGUUCUGAGAGGAAGGCCCCCCACAAUGGGACUGAGACACGGCCCAUACUCCUACGGGAGGCAGCAGUGAGGAAUAUUGGUCAAUGGGCGGAAGCCUGAACCAGCCAUGCCGCGUGCGGGAAGGAGGCCCUAUGGGCUGUGAACCGCUUUUGCCUGGGGGCAAUAAGGGCGUCGCGCACGCCCGAUGAGAGUACCAGGCGAAUAAGCAUCGGCUAACUCCGUGCCAGCAGCCGCGGUAAUACGGGGGAUGCGAGCGUUAUCCGGAUUCAUUGGGUUUAAAGGGUGCGUAGGCUGUGCGUCAAGUCGGGGGUGAAAUUCCGGUGCUCAACACCGGGGCUGCCCUUGAUACUGUCGCGCUGGAGUGCGGAUGCCGCCGGAGGAAUGAGUGGUGUAGCGGUGAAAUGCUUAGAUAUCACUCAGAACACCGAUUGCGAAGGCAUCUGG